UGAAUACGAGAUGCUACGGCAUCGAAGCAGUCUAUGUCAUACUUCCAAGAAAAGCCUGCACUGUCAUAAACAAAUAAUGCCUGUACCAUAACCGACACAGGUGGGUAGGUAGAGUAUACUAAGGGGCGCGAGAUAACUCUCUCUAAGGAACUCGGCAAAAUGACUCCGUAACUUCGGGAGAAGGAGUGCCUUAUUUUAUAAGGUUGCAAUAACAAGAUCCAAGCAACUGUUUACCAAAAACACAGGUCUCCGCUAAGUCGUAAGACGAUGUAUGGGGGCUGACGCCUGCCCAGUGCCAGAAGGUUAAAGAAGUUGGUUAGCAUUAGCGAAGCUGAUAACUGAAGCCCUGGUGAACGGCGGCCGUAACUAUAACGGUCCUAAGGUAGCGAAAUUCCUUGUCGGGUAAGUUCCGACCCGCACGAAAGGCGUAAUGAUUUGGAUACUGUCUCGGAGAGGGGCUCGGUGAAAUAGACUUGUCUGUGAAGAUGCGGACUACCUGCACCAGGACAGAAAGACCCUAUGAAGCUUUACUGUAACUUGAGAUUGAAAUUGGACUUUAUUUGCGCAGUAUAGGUGGGAGACGUUGAAAAUAUUCUUGCGGGAAUAUUGGAGUCAUCAGUGAGAUACCACUCUUAUAAUGUUAGAUUUCUAACUUUGUAUCAUUAUCUGGUCAAAGAACAGUCUCAGGCGGGCAGUUUGACUGGGGCGGUCGCCUCCCAAACGGUAACGGAGGCGCACAAAGGUUUCCUCUGAACGUGUAGAAAUCGUAUCUAGAGUGUAAAGGCAUAAGGAAGCUUGACUGUGAGACCUACAAGUCGAGCAGGGACGAAAGUCGGUCUUAGUGAUCUGACGGUGCUGAGUGGAAAGGCCGUCACUCAACGGAUAAAAGUUACUCUAAGGAUAACAGGCUGAUCUCCCCCAAGAGUUCACAUCGACGGGGAGGUUUGGCACCUCGAUGUCGGCUCAUCGCAUCCUGGGGCGGUAGUACGUCCCAAGGGUUGGGCUGUUCGCCCAUGAAAGCGGUACGCGAGCUGGGUUCAGAACGUCGUGAGACAGUUCGGUCCAUAUCCGGUGUAGGCGUUAGAAUAUUGAGAGGAGCCUUCUUUAGUACGAGAGGACCGAGAAGGACAUACCUCUGGUGUACCAGUUAUCGUGCCAACGGUAAACGCUGGGUAGCUAUGUAUGGAGAGGAUAACCGCUGAAAGCAUCUAAGUGGGAAGCCCACCUCAAGAUAAG
rnacentral:rRNA from 1 species